CUAAGGUUUUGUUUCAUUUAUAGUUUAUGAUCAAAGACAAAAGCUAACUUUUCUUUUCUUUUUUUCCUUUAUAGGGUGGAUCCUCUACUUUAGUCAGAAGUGAUUCCUCUGUAAAUGUAAGCAAUGUCCAUCAGCUUUUAAGAUUUUUUUAAAAAAUCUUUGUUUGUUUUAUUAAUAUAAUGGCUAGAGAGAAUAAAAAGAGUUAGUACCUAAUAGAAGUCAUACACUUGUGAAAAUAAUCUACUUUGGUUACAAUUUAAAAUACACACAGGCCAUUCCUUUUAAUUGUAACAAAAAAAUGCACACAAGGCAUUCAUGCAGCACUCCCAGUUGCUCUUUCCAUUUGAAAUAGUUUUCAUUCAAAGGGAAGUCUUACAGUGAAAAAUAUUGCCACAAACACAGGCAGAUAACAGUAUAAAUAUUUACUUUGGGAGUCAAUUCCAUUGGCAUCCUUGGAAUUAUGUAAAAAUAUCCCCAAAGGACACGGAUUUAUGUGAUAGUAUACCUCUUAGAUAAAUUACUGCAAGAAAGUUCAGUAUUAGUAUUUAUGUACUACUGUCUUUCAAGAAGUUUUGCUUUAAAAGAACAAAAGUUUUGUUUCUUUUAGAGUAAAAUAAUUGGUGGUUCUGUUUGCUUUUUUCCCCAGGACUCGUCUUCCUCUGGAGGCAGCCAGUACAACAGCCAAGAUUCAUAUUCCUCUGGAGCUAGCCAGUAUGGAGGACAUGAGUCAUCUUCUUAUGGAGGCAGCCAGUAUGGUGGACAAGGUUCAGGAGGCAGCCAAUAUGGUGGACAGGGUUCACCUUCUUCAGGAGGCAGCCAGUAUGGAGGACAGGGUCCAUCUUUGCCAGGCAGCAGCCAUUAUGGAGGACAGGGUAUAGCUUCUUCAGGAAGCAGCCAGUAUAGUGGACAGGUAAAACUUCUUUUUUCAUGGUAUUUGCAGUUUGGGUACACAAUUCAUCAGGAAAACAGACUGUUAUUUUUUGCAAAAAAAAUAUUCUUUAUUCUAAGAUAA
rnacentral:lncRNA from 1 species